rnacentral:tRNA from 1 species
UCCUGGUGGCUCAGUGGUAAAGAAUCUGUCUGCAACACAGGAGACUCAGGUUUGAUCCCUGGGCCUGGAA